UCCUUUGCAGCCAUGGGAGUGGCCACUAAAACCCUGGUCCAGGUUACAUUUGGAUUACGCUGGGCCGUUUAUGGGUGCAGUUGCUAGAUGGGAGGACUGUACGACGUCAUCUCGACUAUGUGAGGAGAAGAGUAAGCAUAGAGGGCGAGACGGUUAACGCAGAUGAUGCCAUACCACCUCCCAUGGACCUCACAAAUGGAGCAGGAAUUCAGAAACAUGGUUCGGCACCGGCAGGCAGCGUGUCGCCCCUAAAGGCAGGAGUUUCGAAGCAGUCCGGAGCACACAACAGCAACGCGCCGGAUCAAAUUCAAGAACGAGAGUUAACCUCAAGUCAAGAGUUCGAACCUGGAUUGCCGCCACAACAGCAGCCGUUGGAGAGGGAAACACUGCGCCGUUCUGAGAGACUGCGCCAGAAGCCAGAUCGUUUGCAGAUAGCUUGGAAAUAAAAUGUUAGGUCUCUUGCUUCACUUGUGUUAACUAUUUUAAUUGUUGGAGUUUUGUAUUACUUUUGCUAGUUUUAGUUACUAUGUUUAUUUUGUUUUUUGUCUCGUGUUUGCGGGUUUUAGCGUUUCUUAUAACUUGUAUCGAAUAUUUUUUUUUCUAGUCUUUCUAAUUGAUAAGUUUUAGUAUCUUCUGUAUCUUUUUUAACAUUUUGGUUGUAAACUUGAUUUUAUGGUUUCUAACCUGAGUUUUUUUUAAAAAAGGGAGGAGUGUUAUAAUUGUUACUACCAAAGUACUACUUGUCAUUCACUGCUUCAUGUAUUGGUUUAUGUAUUAGUUCAUACUAGUUGAUUUCGGAAGCUUCUCUCUGUAUGGAGCCAGUUCAGCUCCAGCCGGCAAGCGGGUAGCCGCUCCUUAAUACAUUGUUACCCCUGGA